rnacentral:rRNA from 1 species
UUAGUGGCAGACGGGUGAGUAAUGCAUAGGAAUCUACCUAGUAGUAUAGGAUAGCCACUAGAAAUGGUGGGUAAUACUGUAUAAUCCCUGCGGGGGAAAGAUUUAUCGCUACAUGAUGAGCCUAUGUUAGAUUAGCUAGUUGGUGGGGUAAUGGCCUACCAAGGCAGUGAUCUAUAGCUGGUCUGAGAGGAUGAUCAGCCACACUGGAACUGAGACACGGUCCAGACUCCUACGGGAGGCAGCAGUGGGGAAUAUUGGACAAUGGGCGCAAGCCUGAUCCAGCUAUGCCGCGUGAGUGAGGAAGGCCUUAGGGUUGUAAAACUCUUUCAGUGGGGAAGAUAAUGACGGUACCCACAGAAGAAGUCCCGGCAAACUCCGUGCCAGCAGCCGCGGUAAUACGGAGGGGGCAAGCGUUGUUCGGAAUUAUUGGGCGUAAAGGGCAUGUAGGUGGUUUGGUAAGUUAAAGGUGAAAUGCCAGGGCUUAACCCUGGAGCUGCUUUAAUUAACUGCCA